rnacentral:lncRNA from 1 species
GUGUGAUAAGAGAGAAAAAAACCUUAAAAAAUUAGAGGAAAAGAUAAGAAGAAAUUGAGUGGAAAAGAUAGAAAGAAGAGAGAUGAGAAAAAUAGCAAGUGAGGUGUGCUUGUCCUAGGGUUUGAUUUUUUCAUAUGUUGGAGUAUAAAAUCAAAUCUUAGGUUAUGAGACUACUAGAAAAAAUUCUCUUGGCAUGAUCCUAAUGGAGAAAUCA